rnacentral:lncRNA from 1 species
CCCCCACCAUCUUUCUCCUUCAGCUCUUCACAUCAUGACAAAGGACUUGGGCGUUUGAGGCAGAGGUUCUGUCCCAGCUUCACCUCCUCUUCUUGUGUGACCUUUAACAAGUUAACUCAUGUCCGUGAUUUUCUUCAUCUUUAAAAAGCUGAUUAAUUUAUUUUCAUCCCAGCCACUAUCACUCCAUCAUCAACAUCCCAGGAGAACGGGCUAUCAUGUGCCCAGAAAGGACGGUUCCAGGACACAGGUCCUGGCUGUCACACUCAACUCGGAUCUGACUGUCCUGCCAGCAGCUUCUCAAGAUGUUUAAGCGUGUCCUUUUCUGGUCUUCCUACUGCUGGAGGGGGAAAAAUGCUUAAUUUUCCUAUGAAGUAAAAGCUUUCUGGGUUCUUGUCUCUGCUUGGGACAAAAAAGGAAGACUCUGAAACAUCCAAAUGGAGAGAAAAGCAGGCUGAGUCUUGACUAGGACCCACUGUAAAAUACAGCCUAAGGCAAACUGCCUUCUCUGUUCACAUAGCUACAAUCAGCUGAGCUAGUAGACAGACAACCAGCAAUGCCAAGGUGAAGAAAGAACUCUUAAGGAGACACUCACACCUCAACUAAGACAAAUGGUGACCAGGGCUUAGAAUUUACACUUCUUCCUGCCCAGUCCCGGGACUUUAUCGUCACACAGUCAUGUCAAUCCUGUGGCAGUCCCCCCAUUUUUUUAACCCCUUAAAAGGAGGGUCCAGAAUUGAUACAUAAGAAAUUGUCCUCAGUGUCCUUUUCUAAUUCAUUAUCACAAAUUUCUGAAGUAACAAAUCUCAUUUCAGUUUUCCAGGACUCACUCACUUUCAAGGAUAAACUUCCAAAUGGUUGCUAGGAGCUCUAACUCCACCCAAGAAGCCUGUGGUAGGAGUAGCACUAAUGACAAACAGGGGCAUUGACAAAUAAGUUGAGUUUCUGAGUCCUAAUGGGUCUGAAAAGUUGUAGCCUCACUCAGAUAUUACCAGAAUUGCAUGUCUUUCGCUACGUUUCACCCAUAAAAAGCUCAGCAUUUUUGCUACAACAUUUAAUCUGCAUUAUUUCUUCUAGAUUCUUUGAAACCCCUAAACUAGAUAAAAACUUUUUUUCAAGAAACAAAAUUUGUCUUCACUUCCGAUUCUUGGCAUUGAACUUGAACUUUGGCAAUGAACUUCAACUUCUUGAACUUAUACAAAUAGGAGACAAAAAGAAAAAAAAAAAGACUGGUUAGCUGAUUGAAUCUUAAGAUUGCAAGGUACACUGGGGGUUACAAUCCAACUGCUUAUUUUUAUGGAUAUGAAAUUGAGGAUCAGAAAAGUCAUUUCCUCAUCAUUACUCUUAUGGGGAAAACACUAGANNNNNNNNNNNNNNNNNNNNNNNNNNNNNNNNNNNNNNNNNNNNNNNNNNNNNNNNNNNNNNNNNNNNNNNNNNNNNNNNNNNNNNNNNNNNNNNNNNNAAAGUCAUUUCCUCAUCAUUACUCUUAUGGGGAAAACACUAGAACCGAAGUCUCCUAGGAUCAAAUUCACUGUUUUCCUCCUGUCACAUUACCUUGUGUAGACAUCCAACAAUUCAUAGCUGGAUUUCUAAUACCUCUGCUAAUACGAAUCAAGACCCUUGGCCACCCUCACCAACUCAGUACUGGUGACACAGUAUUUAUGCACUUGGGACAAAAACUUUAUCAAACAACCCAAAUUUUGCCUUAAAUUUUUUUAAAAAAGUGAAUAAAUUGCCUCCUUGAUCAGGCAUGAUUCUGUAACUGGGCUGGGAGGAACUCAAUCUAAAUGGCUUCCCCUGGGGUCCCAAAGAUGAUGUUGCAGACGAUCCGUGAAUCUCUGAAAGCAAAUGCAAAAUUGUGUUGAUAUGCACCUGUGUGGGACAAAUAGCCACAGUUAUCAUUGGAUUCACAAAUAUCUUAUCUCAGAAUAUUAGGAAUCACUGUCCUAAUACAUUCACUUCAGUUCAGUCACUCAGUCGUGUCCGACUCUUUGCGACCCCA